rnacentral:rRNA from 1 species
GAUGAACGCUGGCGGCGUGCCUAAUACAUGCAAGUCGAGCGAACGGACGAGAAGCUUGCUUCUCUGAUGUUAGCGGCGGACGGGUGAGUAACACGUGGAUAACCUACCUAUAAGACUGGGAUAACUUCGGGAAACCGGAGCUAAUACCGGAUAAUAUUUUGAACCGCAUGGUUCAAAAGUGAAAGACGGUCUUGCUGUCACUUAUAGAUGGAUCCGCGCUGCAUUAGCUAGUUGGUAAGGUAACGGCUUACCAAGGCAACGAUGCAUAGCCGACCUGAGAGGGGGAUAGGCCACCUGGGAAGUGAGACACGGUCAAGACGCCUACGGGAGGCAGCAGUAGGGAAUCUUCCGCAAUGGGCGAAAGCCUGACGGAGCAACGCCGAGUGAGUGAUGAAGGUCUUCGGAUCGUAAAACUCUGUUAUUAGGGAAGAACAUAUGUGUAAGUAACUGUGCACAUCUUGACGGUACCUAAUCAGAAAGCAACGGCUAACUACGUG